rnacentral:rRNA from 1 species
ACUCAAAGGAAUAGACGGGGACCCGCACAAGCAGCGGAGCAUGUGGUUUAAUUCGAAGCAACGCGAAGAACCUUACCAGGGCUUGACAUCCCUCUGACAGGCGAGUAACGUCGCCCUCCUUCGGGCAGAGGAGACAGGUGGUGCAUGGUUGUCGUCAGCUCGUGUCGUGAGAUGUUGGGUUAAGUCCCGCAACGAGCGCAACCCUUGUCAUUAGUUGCCAUCAUUAAGUUGGGCACUCUAAUGAGACUGCCGGGGAUAACUCGGAGGAAGGUGGGGAUGACGUCAAAUCAUCAUGCCCCUUAUGUUCUGGGCUACACACGUGCUACAAUGGCCGGUACAACAAGCAGCGAAACCGCGAGGUGGAGCAAACCUCAAAAACCGGUCCCAGUUCGGAUUGCAGGCUGCAACUCGCCUGCAUGAAGUCGGAGUUGCUAGUAAUCGCAGAUCAGAAUGCUGCGGUGAAUGCGUUCCCGGGUCUUGUACACACCGCCCGU